AGCCCCGUCGUCUAGUGGUCACUUAAAGCCAUAGAAGGAUGCGAGACUCUGGAUCUCGCGACCGAGGUUCAAAUCCUCGCGGGGCUA
rnacentral:tRNA from 1 species